GUGGUUAAAAUACGUUUAAUAUCAGGAUGAUGAAGACGAGGAUGAAGAGAAUGAGGAAGGAAAGUUGAGUUCGUCUGGAAAGGAGUUGAAGAAGUUACUCGGGAAAGCUGCCGGGCUCAGUGAUUCUGAUGGUGAAGAUGACGACGAUGAUGAUGUAAGUUUUUGUUCUUAAAUACUAUCCUUUUGAACAGACUCUGUACUGGUAUGCUUUUGCCUUUCUGUUUGCAAUGAGGUAAACUGUUAGAAUGGAUAAAUAUGCUGUUACUUUCUUUGUCUCAUCCAUGACGAAGCAGUAGAUUGUUAGAUUUUUGUGGAAGUUAUCUGUAGUUUUUUUCUGUUUUAUUUAUUUGUACAAGGAUGAAGGUAUCUUUGACGUGAAUUUCUAGUUUGCUAUGCUUCUUUCUCUCCUAUUAAAUUUCGUCCUUUGUUGGAAUUUGCGCUGAUAACACCUCAUGCACUCUAGUUACUCCGACCAUUGCUUAGCUUCAACAAAUUACAAAUGUAUGGCAAC
rnacentral:lncRNA from 1 species